CCCUUUUUACACAAUAAAAGCCACUCAUCUACAAAUACUUUUAUUUCCUUUUUGGUACAUGUAGGACUACUUCCUACUGCCUAUUAAAAGUGUUUCCUAUCCCUAGUUCAGCCCACAAAGAUACCCAAACCACUUGCUGACAUCAAGAUCUUCACAAUACUUAGAGCAAAAGCUUCUAAGAAAGUAUUUUACCAAAUCCACAAGCUUCAGUAUCUUUGGUUCUACGAUGCCCACUCCUGCACAUACCACUAUACUUAACUGUGCUAACUUUUGGGUCAAGUACCCGGUUACAGCAAUUUAGUUCUUCCCCUUACAGUACUUCUAGUGAAGGCAAAUUACUUCUUCAAAAAGUCUGGUUUUUGCAAGGGACAGUAGGGACCAGAAAAGAGAAACUGAUUGGCUUGUCAUUGCUGCCCUACUUCCAUUUCAGGUCCAAGGAGAAAAGUGUUCCACAGAGAGCAGCAAAGGGGCCAGACACAAAUCAAGAAGGUAGAUGCUAAACUAAACUUUUAAGCGAUUUAAGCGAAAGGUGACAGAACGUGGGGGAGGGGAUAACACCGAGCUAUGCAAGUGAAGCUUCAGGGGAAAGGUCCACUCCACGAAGCAAAGGAGGGAGUGGAGAACAAACCGGUCUGGCCGAGCGACAAACCCUGGAUGCUGACCGAGCCAGGAGGGGUAGGGCCCCGGAGCUCGCGAAGUGAGACCUCGGGCAAACCGCAGGGGUGCAGCAAUGGGCAGAAAGGAGGAGGGGCGGCACGGGCACACAGCAGAGUGUAAGGGGACACCGGAAGGAACGAUGAGUUGGGAGGCACCGACAGCAGGCGGGAGCCCAGCGCCAGGGCGACUGGCGAGUGGCAACUGCGAAAAGCGAGGCACGGGAGCCGGAGGUGGUGGGACUCUGUUGACUCAGCACAGCUCCUACACUGAGGGCACUUGUAAGAUCCCCGCAGCUCCUCGGGCCCUAAAACCCGCGGCGGAGAGUCGAGCCCACCGGCCAGAGAGAUAGUGGUCUCUGACGGGCUGGCGACGGCCCCCUUCCCAUUUCACAGAAAGAACAAAUUAAAGUACAACUGUGCAGUCACCUAAUCAACAACCCUAUUUUACAAUAGCACUUGGACAUUUAUGAACUGAAUCAAGAAACUGAUCAAGAAAAUACAUAGUGAACUUGAGAGUUAUGGACUCUGCCUCCCUUACCUUUUUGCCACAGAAUGGGAAAUGAAACUCGGACUUGAUUAAUGAGAGUAACUGUGAUGGGAAGUGACUAUGCAGAGAUACAAUCAAUUAAUUUUUGAUAAAAAGGUGCUCAGGAAAACUGUUUCUCCUGGUAAUGCAAAACUGGAUCUGCUGGCAGGUAGCUGCUAAACUGAAGGCACUUCAGACCGAAGACACAAAGAGCCUGCAGCACAAGAGAAUGAGACCCAAAUGCUGUGCCAAGUGCAGCUGAACCACAAAGGAGGCCAACUAUUUACCACAAGAGUUCAAUUUAAAAAAUUCUACAGCUUGUUUUAAAUUUGUUCUACAGCUUGUUUUUAAAUUUCUCAAUUCUUCUUUGACAAAUUUUCCACCGUCACCUCCCACUGCAAACAUUAGAACCAUCUUUUCUACUUUCUUCCAAAUUUGAAAAUGAAAAUUUUAAAAGAAUACAAGCUAAUAGGCACUGAGAGGAAAAGUAUGGGUCUCAGAGUCAUUUGGGGUAGGUACAGAACAUUUAAAGUAGCAGCAUAAAUCAGCAUAAACUAAAGCAGAUAAUCCCUUUCCUUUGAAAAAUAUUUUUUAGGGCCGAGGAUUUAGCUCAGUGGUUCUGCCACCUGCCUUGAAAGUGCAAGGUCCCAAGUUUGAUCCCCAGUGCCAAAAAAAAAGAAAAGAAAAAUAUUUUUUAAAUAACUUUGUUUAAUAGACAAGUGAUUGACCUUUGAUUAUAAAAAUAAUUAUGAAACUACCAAAUGAUUUAGAUUGCAUGGCAUAUUACAUACAGCUAGAUAUCUCACAGAAGAAGCACAAUUCUAAAGUUCAUAUGCAAGAAUCUGUAAUAUAUAAAGAACUUAAAAAAUUAGACCCCCCCAUUAGAACACAAUAAAAAAUGAACUAGCAAAAUGAAUAGACAUUUAAUGGAAGAAGUACACAUAACCAAUAAAUAGAUGAAGAAAUGGU